CGCAACUCCAAUGGGAUUUUCUUGUGUCAAAGGAAAUAUACACUUGAUAUCAUCACCGAAGUUGGGUUGUUGGGAGCUAAACCCGUUGGUUUUCCCUUAGAUCAGAAUCAUCAUCUUCCCUUGGCCACUAGAACUCCUCUUUCUAAUCCGGAUCGGUAUCGAAGACUAGUAGGUCGUUUGGUCUACUUAACUAUCACUAGACCAGAAAUUUCUUACUCUGUUCAUAUGUUGGCUCAAUUUAUGCAAAAACCUUUAGAAGAGCACUGGAACGCAGCUCUCCGUGUCGUCCGUUAUCUCAAGGGAAAUCCUGGCCAAGGUAUU